rnacentral:lncRNA from 1 species
AUCCGCUACAAUGUAGCGUUUGUAUAUAUUCGCUGUUUACCCAUUAAUGCUGCCAGAUUAUAUCGUACAUUGUUAUCGCCAUCGGUGUGUAUUUAUGAGAAGCGUCAAUACCGCUUUAGUCUCAUCUAAAACAUCCUAUACACGUUAAAUGGAAAAAAGCCACCUGGCGCUAAAAUGGUUUUUUCCAUGUUGAUAUCGGAGACAAAAGUGAAAGUAAGUUACAGGAGACAUUUAUCCUCAAAAUAACUGCGUCACGUUAUCCUAGCACAAAAAUCAGAGCCAGUAAGAGGAGAUCAGACGCGCCAGUGCAGCUCCGUGAGCACAGAAUGAGUCAAGUACAAAAAACCAAAGAUGGAGAUUUUUCUCCGGGAUGCAGUUCAGUCCAUCAGAAGAGCUCAGAUUCACCAGAGCCCAGCUGUGUGUCCAUGAAGAGUGACUGGUCUAUGGAUCCUCCACUACAAAUGAAGUGUGGAGACAGAAGCCAGAGUCACAGUUUGGCUCAGCAGAAGAGCUCAGAUUCACCAGAGCCCAGCUGUGUGUCCAUGAAGAGUGACUGGUCUAUGGAUCCUCCACUACAAAUGAAGAGUGGAGACAGAAGCCAGAGUCACAGACCAGCUGUAACAGAACCCGUCUGUAAGAAAAUAAAACAUGACGAGUCUGUGAAUCAACCACAGGACUUUGAUGAAAGCAUGUAUCCUGGUGUCAGCCAUGACUCCAAUUCUGAAAUCCUCAACACGUUUAAAUCAAAUCUGAAGAAUAAGUUUCAGUGUCUUUAUGAAGGAAUAGCAAAGCAGGGAAACCCAACACUCCUGAAUGAGAUCUACACAGAGCUCUACAUCACAGAGAGUGAGAGUGGAGGCUCAUAUUUCCUCUUCCUUUCAGAGAAAUCAAUCUGAUGAAGGACAAAACACUCAGUCUUUCAGAUCUUCUUCAUUACUUUUUCCCUGAAACAAAAGAAAUAGACAUUUUUAGUGAUGAAUAUGAAGUGUUGUUCAUCUUUGAUGGUCUGGACGAGUGUCGUCUGUCUCUGGAUUUUCAGAGCGAUGUGAGGUUGUGUGAUGUAAGUGAAUCAGCCUCAGUGGACGUGCUGCUGAUGAACCUCAUUGUGGGGAAUCUGCUUCCCUCUGCUCUCAUCUGGAUCACCUCCAGACCAGCAGCAGCUGAUCUCGUCCCCUCUGAGUGUGUCCAUCGAGUGACAGAGGUACGAGGCUUCAAUGAGCCACAGAAGGAGGAAUACUUCAGGAAGAGAAUCAGUGAUCAGAGUCUGGCCAAUAGGAUCAUCUCACACCUGAAGUCAAACAGGAGCCUCUUCAUAAUGUGCCACAU